rnacentral:rRNA from 1 species
UAGGGAAUAUUGGACAAUGGGUGAGAGCCUGGUCCAGCCAUGCCGCGUGCAGGAAGAAGGCGUUAUGCGUUGUAAACUGCUUUUGCCAGGGGAUAAAAAGACCGUGCGCGGUUAAUUGAAGGUACCUGGUGAAUAAGCCACGGCUAACUACGUGCCAGCAGCCGCGGUAAUACGUAGGUGGCAAGCGUUGUCCGGAUUUAUUGGGUUUAAAGGGUGCGUAGGUGGCCCUGUAAGUCAGUGGUGAAAUAUCUCAGCUUAACUGAGAGGGUGCCAUUGAUACUGCAGGGCUUGAGUACAGAUGAGGUAGGCGGAAUUGACGGUGUAGCGGUGAAAUGCAUAGAUAUCGUCAAGAACACCGAUAGCGAAGGCAGCUUACCAAGCUGUAACUGACACUGAGGCACGAAAGUGUGGGGAUCAAACAGGAUUAGAUACCCAUGUAGUCCCUGAGCGGGCUGGCAAGGCGCAU